rnacentral:rRNA from 1 species
UACGUAGGGUGCGAGCGUUAAUCGGAAUUACUGGGCGUAAAGCGUGCGCAGGCGGUUUUGUAAGCCAGAUGUGAAAUCCCCGGGCUUAACCUGGGAAUGGCAUUUGGGACUGCAAGGCUGGAGUACGGCAGAGGAGACUGGAAUUCCUGGUGUAGCAGUGAAUGCGUAGAGAUCGGGAGGAACACCUGUGGCGAAGGCGGCCCCCUGGGCCGGCCCUGACACUGAGACGCGAAGGCGUGGGGAGCGAACGGG